rnacentral:misc_RNA from 1 species
GAAAUGCGAUAAGUAGUGUGAAUUGCAGAAUUCAGUGAAUCAUCGAAUCUUUGAACGCACAUUGCGCCCCUCGGUAUUCCGUGGGGCAUGCCUGUUCGAGCGUCAUCUACACCCUCAAGCUCUGCUUGGUGUUGGGCGUCUGUCCCGCCUCCGCGCGCAGACUCGCCCCAAAUGCAUUGGCAGCGGUUCCUUGCCCCCCUCUUUGCGCAGCACAUUGCCAUUCGAGGCGGCGGCGGCCCGCGUCCAACAAGCUCAACCCCCCCGUCUUUGACCUCGGAUCAGGUAGGGAUACCCGCUGAACUUAAGC